UACGUAGGCAGCGAGCGUUGUCCGGAAUCAUUGGGCGUAAAGCGCGUGUAGGCGGUCCGGUAAGUCCGCUGUGAAAGUCGGGGGCUCAACCCUCGAAUGCCGGUGGAUACUGUCGGGCUAGAGUGCGGAAGAGGCGAGUGGAAUUCCUGGUGUAGCGGUGAAAUGCGCAGAUAUCAGGAGGAACACCAAUUGCGAAGGCAGCUCGCUGGGACGUAACUGACGCUGAGACGCGAAAGCGUGGGGAGCAAACAGG
rnacentral:rRNA from 1 species